rnacentral:rRNA from 1 species
CCGGCGAGGGGAGUGAAAAAGAACCUGAAACCGUGUACGUACAAGCAGUGGGAGCCCCACCACUAAGCCAGUGGUGAACUCCACAUACGCAUCCUUUGCUGAGGAUACGGUUAACGGAGCGAAAGCGACGUUUAACCUCAAAAGAAGCAGAGGGGGCUUAGUGGUGGGGUGACUGCGUACCUUUUGUAUAAUGGGUCAGCGACUUAUAUUCUGUAGCAAGGUU